rnacentral:lncRNA from 1 species
AUGAACUGAUUCUUGUAUGCUUCAUUGAACUAGAAGUAGUAAGUAGUAUAACUCUAAACUAUACCUAUUAUAGUUUAUUAGUACUCUUGUUUGUAUGAUUGAAUGUAUUGAACUGAGAUAAAAGUCUUUAUAUCUAUACAUAUAUACAUAAUAUAUAACUAAGGGUUCAACGACACUCGGACAAACAACCGGGUACUUUAAGACCACAACCAAACAAGGAUAGGAAGUAAAGUGGGUUAUCUUUCCUAAGUCCUUCAAACCUUAUUUAUAUAACUAUAUAUGUAAUAGACAUGGUUUUAACAAUAUAUAAGUUUGAAAACUGUAAAAGAAAGGUUUAGUAUUCAAAAGUGAAUUUGAUAAAGAGUUUGAUGUGUAAAAUAGUUUGAUAAACAGUUUGAAGUCAUUUGUUUGGUAAAACAGUUUAAAGUAUGUAAAAUCCAUUUGUAUGCUAGUUAUUAAUCACAUGUGAUUGAUCUAAUAACUAACAUGGUUUAACUUGUAUCCCCCAUAAAGCAUUUAAAAACAUUUAAAAAGCAUUUCAAAGGUUAAUUAAGGGGUAGUAGUGAGUGGUUUGUUCGGAAGUGUCGGACAAGGUGCUAGGUGUCAAGUGAGGACUUGAACACACACUAUGGUCCUAGUUAACAUAUAAUAAUUAUAUAUGUAUCUAAUUAGUCAAUUAACAACUAAUUAAUGAAGUUAAGACACCCUAGGACAUGGAAAUACUUUGAUUCAAGUGCUAUAGGUACCAAAGGGUUGCAUCUAAGGGUUGUAUGGCAUGGCAUUGGAGUUUAUGGCCCAAGGACCACUCCUUAUGGAGUUUACGGCCCAUGAACAUUUCCCCAUGAGUUUAUGGCCGUAAACUCAUGGUACUAAGUGUCAUAUUGUGUUUUGAAGUCUUAUAAGUCAUGAUUGCACAUCCAAUGAUCAAGUCCAAGCCUUAGGAAAGCAUUAGGGGCACAUUAAGGCUACAUUGUGGAGUUUACGGCCAAAGGACCAUAUCCUUAGGUGUUCACGACUGUAAACUCUCAUGGGGACUUGUUUUGAUUGGUUUUUAAGGUCUUAAACACUUCUAGGAAGGAUCAAGGUUGGCAUCCAAGGCUUAGGAAAGGACUAAGGUCCAUUUAACCACCUUAAGAGGGGUUUACGGCCCAAGAACAUCCUUGGACAUAAACUCCUUUGUUCUUAUGAUUCUUGAUGAUUUUCAAGUGUUAUCAAGUUCAUAUUAAUCACACAAGAAGCUAGGGCAAGUGUACUUACAAGAUAGAGGCUUGAUUUGGUGUUUAAGGUCCAAGAACACUAGUGUGUGUUAUUGGUGUUCUUGGUGUUUUGAAGAACACUUGAAGAUCUAGCUAACAAUCAAAUAUGAAUGGAUGAAAGGAUGUAUAACAAGUUGAUGUUAGGUUAUAACAACAAAUCAAGUUGAGAAACACUUACGUUUUCGGAAGAUCGGGUGAAGAACGUGAUGAUAGUUGAGAGAGAAUGGGGAGUAAACUUGAGGGUGGAAGUAAGAAAUGAGGAGUUUGGGGAGUAAACUCAUGUCUAAGCCAUGAGUUCACGGCCACUAGGGAGUUUACGGCCCAAACUAUAAAAGUUUGGUCGUGAACUCCUUAUUAGGGUGGUAUGUGUGGUUUUGUAACUCCAAGACCCGAGACGGUACUUCCUUUCCUUCGUUCGUUUAAAGAAUAAACACUAAAAACACUCAAACGGACUUUUAAAUUGGCUAAAAAUUAUUAGAAAUGUAAUUGAAUUUUAAUUGAAGUGAUUGACUUUAGAGUUUGUCCGAAUGAAAAUUUCGGGUUGUCACAUCAUCCUCCCGUUAAAGGGAAUUUCGUCCCGGAAUUUAAGUUUAAGCAAAUAAAAUAGUUACAAAUAACUAAGCGAAUAGAUGAGGAUAUUUCAAUUUCAUUUGAUCCUCGCGCUCCCAUGUGAAUUCCGAUCCUUGCUUGGCGUUCUAACAAACCUUCACAAUCGGGAUACGACUUUGUUUCAUCUGCUUGACCUCACGGUCCAUGAUCUUUACAUGUUCUUCCACGAAGUUGAGGCUCUCGUUGAUCUCGAUCUCGUCGAGUGGGAUUACAGGAGUCUCGUUGGACAGACACUUUUUCAAGUUUGAGACGUGGAAUGUAGAAUGUACGUUACUAAGUUCGUUGGGUAGAUUGAGUUUGUAAGCUACAGGGCUGAUUCUAGCGAGAAUCUCGAAAGGCCCUAUGUACCUUGGAUUGAGCUUCCCACACUUUCCGAAGCGUAUCAAGCCCUUCCAGGGUGAGACUUUCAAAAGAACGCGCUUUCCCACCUGGAAUUCCAAAGGUUUCCUGCAUUUGUCGGCGUAGCUCUUCUGUCGGUCUCUAGAGGCUUUCAAUCAUUCACGAAUUUGAACGAUCUUCUCUGUUGUUUCCCGAAUGAUUUCCGGACCUGUGAGAGUGCUGUCAGGAACUCGUCCUUUAGCCAACUGGGUGUCACCCACCUCAGCCCAACAUAGAGGGGAUCUGCACUUCCGGCCAUUGAGGGCUUCGAAUGGAGCAGCCUUGAUGCUCGUGUGAUAACUGUUAUUGUAGGAAAAUUCGACAAGGGGUAAGUGAGUAUCCCAUGCCUUCCCAAAGUCGAUCACAUAGGCUCUCAACAUAUCUUCCAGUGUUUGGAUGGUUCUCUCACUUUGUUCGUCGGUCUGAGGAUGGUAGGCUGUACUCAUGUCUAGCCUCGUUCCUAGGGAACUUUGUAGUGACUGCCAGAACCUCGAAGUGAACCUACUAUCUCUAUCGGAGAUAAUGGAUAUAGGAACACCAUGCAGUCGUACGAUUUCCCUAAUGUAUGUUCUCGUAAGCUUCUCCAUCUUGUCAGUCUCUUUGAUAGGUAGAAAGUGUGCAGACUUGAUCAAUCUAUCGACGAUGACCCAUAUGGUAUCAAGUCCACCCGUUGUCUUGGGCAACUUGGUUAUGAAAUCCAUAGUGAUCCGCUCCCACUUCCAUUCUGGUAUCCCCGGUUGUUGUAGAAGACCGGAGGGUUUCUAGUAUUCGACCUUAACCUUUGCGCAAGUAAGGCAUUUACUCACGAAGGUAGCAAUCUCUGCUUUCAUGUUAGGCCACCAGUAUAACUUUUUAAGAUCCAGAUACAUCUUAUCUGAACCUGGGUGGAUGGAAUACCGAGUGUUGUGCGCCUCGGUCAUAACCAAGUCUCAGAAGCCACCAUGUUUCGGUGUCCAGAUCCGGUCCAUGAAAUAUAAGGCUCCGCCACCCUUGGCUUUUAAGUUCUUAUCCAUUCCUCUAAGGGAUUCACCCGCCACAUUCUCAGGUUUUAAGGCUUCAAGUUGAGCCUUCUGAAUUUGUGUAGACAAGUGUGAAUGGAUAGUCAUUGUCAACGAUCAGACUCUUCGACCAGAAUAUUCUUUCCGACUUAGGGCGUCUGAUACUAUGUUGGCUUUACCUGGAUGAUAACGAAUUUCGCAUUCGUAGUCAUUGAGUAGCUCGACCCACCGUCGUUGUCUCAUGUUGAGCUCCUUCUGAUUGAGUAUGUGUUGUAAGCUCUUGUGGUCUGUAAAGAUGAUGCUCUUCGUACCAUACAGAUAGUGUCUACAGAUCUUCAGGGCAAACACAAUUGCCCCCAGCUCAAGAUCGUGUGUGGUGUAGUUGACUUUGUGUGUCUUCAGCUGUCAUAAGGCAUAGGCGAUGACCUUACCUCGUUGCAUCAGAACACAACCGAGCCCUUGGUUGGAUGCAUCACAUUAUAAAACGAAGUCUUCUAUUCCUUCGGGGAGGGAUAGUAUCGGUGCGGUGCAUAAGGAUCGUUUCAGCGUUUGAAACGCUCUUUCUUGUUUCUCUUCCCAGUCAAAGGCCACUCCUUUCUGGGUCAGUGUAGUAAGAGGCUUCGCAAUCCGGGAGAAGUUCUGUAUGAACCUGCGUUAGUAGCCAAUGAGACCUAAAAAUUGACGAAUUUUUGUAGGCGUCUUCGGUGCUGACCAGUUCUCAAUGGCCUUAAUUGUGGAUGGGUCCACAUGGAUUCCCUCUUCGCUAACCAUGUGUCCUAAGAAUUUGACUCUUGGGAUCCAAAAUUCACAUUUAGAGAACUUCGCAUAGAGCUUCUCCGUUCGUAAAGUUCCUAGAACUUGUCGUAGGUGAUCACCAUGUUCUUCCUUACUUCAAGAGUAGAUCAGGAUGUCAUCAAUGAAAACGAUGACGAACUGAUCCAAGUAAGGACGACAUACUCUAUUCAUUAAGUCCAUGAACACUGCGGGCGCAUUGGUCAAUCCGAAUGGCAUCACCACGAACUCGUAGUGUCCGUAACGAGUUCGGAAGGCUGUUUUUGGAACAUCCUCCUCUAGCACUCGUAACCGGUGAUAUCCAGAUCUUAGAUCAAUUUUUGAAAAAGGAACUCGCCCCUUGCAGUUGGUCAAAUAAAUCGUCUAUGCGAGGCAGAGGGUAACGAUUUUUGACCGUCAGUUUGUUGAGUUCUCUGUAGUCGAUACACAUACGGAAUGAUCCAUCUUUCUUCUUAACGAACAAAACCGGUGCUCCCCAGGGUGAGAAGCUUGGUCUAAUAAAGCCCUUGCUGAGUAGUUCGUUAAUUUGACCAUAUAGUUCCUACAUUUCUGUUGGUGCUAAGAGGUAGGGCGAUUUGGCUAGUUGGGUAGCUCCUAGGACUAAGUCGAUUUUGAACUCGACCUGUCGUUGCGGAGGUAAUCCUGGUAGUUCUUCUGGAAAGAUGUCGGGAAAGUCGCUCACUACCGGAAUGUUCUUUAGUUCCUUCGUUUCUAGUCUCGUAUCGACAAAGUGAGAAAGGAAUGCACAAUAUUCCUUACGUAGAUACUUCCGUGCUUGAAUACUUGAGAUGAUACGAAGACUCGUUCUGGGUUUGUCGCCGUAGAUGAUGAGAGUUUCGUUAGCCGGGAGGUUUAGAUAGACUGCUUUCUUGUAGCACAUGAUGUCGGCACGAUGAAGACUCAACCAAUCCAUGCCGUUGAUGACGUCGAAGCUUUUAAUCGAGACCGGCAUAAGGUCGAUUGGAAAUGAAUGGCUAUUUAGAGUUAGGGUACAUCCUAUGUAUAUGCUAUUUGUGCUCUCAGUUUUUGAUGGGUUUUGAGCAUUCUAACACUUCCUAAGUGUACAUGCAACCCUAAUAACCUUGGAUCUAUGUUUGUCUAAUUAUCAUGCAAAGUUGAAUUUCCAAGGUUAUAUUCCUAUCUAGCAUACAUGGGGAACAAUUUUACUUGAAUAACA